rnacentral:rRNA from 1 species
AUCCCUUGACAUCCUGCGAACUUUCUAGAGAUAGAUUGGUGCCUUCGGGAACGCAGUGACAGGUGCUGCAUGGCUGUCGUCAGCUCGUGUCGUGAGAUGUUGGGUUAAGUCCCGCAACGAGCGCAACCCUUAUCUUUAGUUGCUACCAUUUAGUUGAGAACUCUAAAGAGACUGCCGGUGAUAAACCGGAGGAAGGCGGGGACGACGUCAAGUCAUCAUGGCCCUUAUGGGAUGGGCUACACACGUGCUACAAUGGAGGGUACAAAGAGCAGCCAACUGGCGACAGUGCGCGAAUCUCAUAAAACCCUUCGUAGUCCGGAUCGGAGUCUGCAACUCGACUCCGUGAAGUCGGAAUCGCUAGUAAUCGUGAAUCAGAAUGUCACGGUGAAUACGU